rnacentral:rRNA from 1 species
AACAAACGCUGGCGGCGUGCCUAACACAUGCAAGUCGUACGAGAAAAUCGGUUUCGACCGGUGAGUAAAGUGGCGCACGGGUGAGUAACGCGUGGAUAAUCUGCCCUUUAGUCGGGAAUAACCCGCCGAAAGGUGGGCUAAUACCCGAUAAUACUGCUUAUACUGCGGUUGAGCAGUCAAAGGUAGCCUCUGUUUACAAGCUUCCACUGAAGGAUGAGUCCGCGUACCAUUAGCUAGUUGGUAGGGUAAUAGCCUACCAAGGCGACGAUGGUUAGCUGGUCUGAGAGGAUGAUCAGCCACACUGGAACUGAGACACGGUCCAGACACCUACGGGUGGCUG